rnacentral:rRNA from 1 species
GUAGCUUGCUACUCUGGCGUCGAGCGGCGGACGGGUGAGUAAUGCUUGGGGAUCUGCCCGGUAGCGGGGGACAACAGUUGGAAACGACUGCUAAUACCGCAUACGCCCUACGGGGGAAAGCAGGGGAUUCUUCGGAACCUUGCGCUAUCGGAUGAACCCAAGUGAGAUUAGCUUGUUGGUGAGGUAAUGGCUCACCAAGGCGACGAUCUCUAGCUGGUUUGAGAGGAUGAUCAGCCACACUGGGACUGAGACACGGCCCAGACUCCUACGGGAGGCAGCAGUGGGGAAUAUUGCACAAUGGGCGAAAGCCUGAUGCAGCCAUGCCGCGUGUGUGAAGAAGGCCUUCGGGUUGUAAAGCACUUUCAGCGAGGAGGAAAGGUCAACGGUUAAUACCCGUUGGCUGUGACGUUACUCGCAGAAGAAGCACCGGCUAACUUCGUGCCAGCAGCCGCGGUAAUACGAGGGGUGCAAGCGUUAAUCGGAAUUACUGGGCGUAAAGCGCAUGCAGGUGGUCUGGUCAGUCAGAUGUGAAAGCCCCGGGCUCAACCUGGGAAUUGCAUUUGAUACUGCCAGACUAGAGUCUUGUAGAGGGGGGUAGAAUUUCAGGUGUAGCGGUGAAAUGCGUAGAGAUCUGAAGGAAUACCAGUGGCGAAGGCGGCCCCCUGGACAAAGACUGACACUCAGAUGCGAAAGCGUGGGGAGCAAACAGCGACUAGAUAC